CAGCAGCCGCGGGAAUACGUAGGUGGCAAGCGUUGUCCGGAAUUAUUGGGCGUAAAGCGCGCGCAGGCGGAUAGGUCAGUCUGUCUUAAAAGUUCGGGGCUUAACCCCGUGAUGGGAUGGAAACUGCCAAUCUAGAGUAUCGGAGAGGAAAGUGGAAUUCCUAGUGUAGCGGUGAAAUGCGUAGAUAUUAGGAAGAACACCAGUGGCGAAGGCGACUUUCUGGACGAAAACUGACGCUGAGGCGCGAAAGCCAGGGGAGCGAACGGGAUUAGAUACCCGCGUAGUCCCUGUCUCUUAUACC
rnacentral:rRNA from 1 species